AGUUUGAUCCUGGCUCAGAGUGAACGUUGGCGGCACGCCUAACACAUGCAAGUCGAGCGAAGUAGUUUACUACUUAGCGGCGAACGGGUGAGUAAUACUUGGAUAACCUGCCUUAAGGUCUGGGACAACUACAGGAAACUGUAGCUAAUACCGGAUAUGACCACACUUACUAAGGUAAGAGUGGUAAAAGAUUUAUCGCCUUUAGAUGGGUCCAAGUCGCAUCAGGUUGUUGGUGGGGUAAUGGCCUACCAAGCCUAUGACGCGUAGCAGGCCUUAGCGGAUGAUCUGCCACAUGGGGACUGAGAUACGGCCCUGACUCCUACGGGAGGCAGCAGUGAGGAAUAUUGGGCAAUGGACGCAAGUCUGACCCAGCGAUGCCGCGUGAAGGAUGAAGGCCUUAGGGUUGUAAACUUCUGUCAGCAGGGAAGAUAAUGACGGUACCUGCAGAGGAAGCCCCGGCUAACUCCGUGCCAGCAGCCGCGGUAAUACGGAGGGGGCAAACGUUACUCGGAUUUACUGGGCGUAAAGGGUCCGUAGGCGGUUCUUUAAGUUAGAUGUGAAAGCUUGAAGCUUAACUUCAAAAUUGCAUCUAAAACUGGAGAACUAGGUUCUUGGAGAGGUUGAUGGAAUUACCGGUGUAGCGGUGAAAUGCGUAGAUAUCGGUAGGAACACCAGUGGCGAAAGCGAUCAACUGGCCAAGUAACGACGCUGAGGGACGAAAGCGUGGGUAGCAAACAGGAUUAGAUACCCUGUAGUCCACGCCCUAAACGAUGAAUACUAGAUGUAGGAUUUAAUUCUGUAUCGUAGCUAACGCAUUAAGUAUUCCGCCUGGGGAGUACGGUCGCAAGG
rnacentral:rRNA from 1 species